rnacentral:lncRNA from 1 species
CUCUCCAGCAGUGAAAUGAAUGAUUUUAGUCAAAUGUGCAUUGUGGAUGCUGGAUGGAUACGGGAGCAUCUUCUGUUGUGAUAAACAUACACCCCUAGGUCCUGGAAAGACGAUCUCUCUCCUACUGCUCUCCAGAAGGGUGUGGAUAAUUUAGUUGUCCAUAGAAGAACAGAUCUACUUUUGGUGCACCCUGAUAAUACAUCUGCAGUCAUGAGCAAUGCUGAUGUGUUCCAUCAGUGACAGCUUGAGAAUCAAGCUCACAGCCGUUGCCAACACAGCUGCCAAAUGACAGCUAAUGCCUGGUGUGACAUCUUUGCUUAAUGACACCUGUAUGUAGAACGAAGCCAGUGACCACUACUUAAUUGCUGUAAUCCUCAGUUACAUUCCCCCAGGAAUUUAUUCUUUAAAGCAGAACAAACGAACAAUAACUAACAUAUUUUCUCCAUAGGCAGUGUUGUAAAAAUAGACUUUUCCCAUAGGUAAACAAUUCUUUCAAAUGACCUGAUGGUUUAGACAAUUUUUAUAGCAUUAAGAUUGUCAUAUACUGAAUUCACAGAAGUUUGGGCAAGACAGUCUAAGGUUUCCUUGAUUUAGUGAUCUACAAUAAAAACAGCUGGUGCUGUCAUUAGCUUUCUUUAUACAUUCCCUUCUGUGCAGGGUGAUUAUUUAUUUAUUUAUUUAUUGCUAUAUGCUGAAAUGUAGCCUAUAUAAA